rnacentral:rRNA from 1 species
UACGGGGGGGCAAGCGUUGUUCGGAAUUACUGGGCGUAAAGGGUUCGUAGGUGGCCAACUAAGUCAGACGUGAAAUCCCUCAGCUUAACUGGGACUGCGUCUGAUACUGGUAUGGCUUGAGUGCAGGAGAGGAACGCGGAAUUCCAGGUGUAGCGGUGAAAUGCGUAGAUAUCAGGAGGAACACCGGUGGCGAAGGCGGCUACCUAGACAGAGUCUGACGCUGAGGCACGAAAGCUAGGGGAGCAAACAGG